rnacentral:rRNA from 1 species
CAGCGACUUAUAUUCUGUAGCAAGGUUAACCGUAUAGGGGAGCCGGAGGGAAACCGAGUCUUAAUUGGGCGUUAAGUUGCAGGGUAUAGACCCGAAACCCGGUGAUCUAGCCAUGGGCAGGUUGAAGGUUGGGUAACACUAACUGGAGGACCGAACCGACUAAUGUUGAAAAAUUAGCGGAUGACCUGUGGCUGGGGGUGAAAGGCCAAUCAAACCGGGAGAUAGCUGGUUCUCCCCGAAAGCUAUUUAGGUAGCGCCUCGUGAAUUCAUCUCCGGGGGUAGAGCACUGUUUCGGCUAGGGGGCCAUCCCGGCUUACCAACCCGAUGCAAACUGCGAAUACCGGAGAAUGUUAUCACGGGAGACACACGGCGGGUGCUAACGUCCGUCGUGAAGAGGGAAACAACCCAGACCGCCAGCUAAGGUCCCAAAGUCAUGGUUAAGUGGGAAACGAUGUGGGAAGGCCCAGACAGCCAGGAUGUUGGCUUAGAAGCAGCCAUCAUUUAAAGAAAGCGUAAUAGCUCACUGGUCGAGUCGGCCUGCGCGGAAGAUGUAACGGGGCUAAACCAUGCACCGAAGCUGCGGCAGCGA